GACGAACGCUGGCGGCGUGCUUAACACAUGCAAGUCGAACGGAAAGGCCCUUCGGGGUACUCGAGUGGCGAACGGGUGAGUAACACGUGGGUGAUCUGCCCUGCACUUUGGGAUAAGCCUGGGAAACUGGGUCUAAUACCGAAUAGGACCACGCGCUUCAUGGUGUGUGGUGGAAAGCUUUUGCGGUGUGGGAUGGGCCCGCGGCCUAUCAGCUUGUUGGUGGGGUAAUGGCCUACCAAGGCGACGACGGGUAGCCGGCCUGAGAGGGUGACCGGCCACACUGGGACUGAGAUACGGCCCAGACUCCUACGGGAGGCAGCAGUGGGGAAUAUUGCACAAUGGGCGCAAGCCUGAUGCAGCGACGCCGCGUGAGGGAUGACGGCCUUCGGGUCGUAAACCUCUUUCAAUAGGGACGAAGCGCAAGUGACGGUACCUAUAGAAGAAGCACCGGCCAACUACGUG
rnacentral:rRNA from 1 species